rnacentral:rRNA from 1 species
CCUACGGGAGGCAGCAGUGAGGAAUAUUGGUCAAUGGCCGGAAGGCUGAACCAGCCAAGCCGCGUGAAGGACGAAGGUGCCAAGCAUUGUAAACUUCUUUUGUCAAGGGACAAAAUCAGGCUCGAGAGCCUGACCGAGGGUACUUGAAGAACAAGCAUCGGCUAACUCCGUGCCAGCAGCCGCGGUAAUACAGAGGUCUCAAGAGUUGUUCGGAAUCACUGGGCGUAAAGCGUGCGUAGGCUGUUUCGUAAGUCGUGUGGGAAAUGCGCGGGCUCAAACCGCGGACGGCACAUGAUACUGCGAGACGAGAGUAAUGGAGGGGGAACCGGAAUUCUCGGUGUAGCAGGGAAAUGCGUAGAUAGCGAGAGGAACACUCGUGGCGAAGGCGGGUUCCUGGACAUUAACGGACGCUGAGGCACGAAGGCGUGGGUAUCAAACAGGAUUAGAUACCCGAGUAGUC